rnacentral:rRNA from 1 species
UACGAAAGGUCCAAGCGUUACUCGUAAUUACUGGGCGUAAAGCGCGCGUAGGCGGCUUUGUAUGUCGAUUGUGAAAGCCCCGGGCUCAACCUGGGAACUGCAGUCGAAACUGCAAAGCUUGAAUGUUGGAGAGGUUGGGGGAAUACCUAGUGGAGAAGUGAAAUUCGUAGAGAUUAGGUGGAACACCAGAGGCGAAGGCGCCUGACUGGCCAAACAUUGACGCUGAGGCGCGAAAGCGUGGGUAGCAAACAGG